AGUGAACGCUGGCGGUAGGCCUAACACAUGCAAGUCGAACGGCAGCACAGGAGAGCUUGCUCUCUGGGUGGCGAGUGGCGGACGGGUGAGGAAUACAUCGGAAUCUACUCUGUCGUGGGGGAUAACGUAGGGAAACUUACGCUAAUACCGCAUACGACCUACAGGUGAAAGCAGGGGACCUUCGGGCCUUGCGCGAUUGAAUGAGCCGAUGUCGGAUUAGCUAGUUGGCGGGGUAAAGGCCCACCAAGGCGACGAUCCGUAGCUGGUCUGAGGGGAUGAUCAGGCACACUGGAACUGAGACACGGUCCAGACUCCUACGGGAGGCAGCAGUGGGGAAUAUUGGACAAUGGGCGCAAGCCUGAUCCAGCCAUACCGCGUGGGUGAAGAAGGCCUUCGGGUUGUAAAGCCCUUUUGUUGGGAAAGAAAUCCAGCUGGCUAAUACCCGGUUGGGAUGACGGUACCCAAAGAAUAAGCACCGGCUAACUUCGUGCCAGCCGCCGCGGUAA
rnacentral:rRNA from 1 species